rnacentral:rRNA from 1 species
GAAGUUACUUCAAUGCGUUAAUGAAAGUCGAGGCGAAAGCACGACAAAGCGAAUUUAAGGAUACGUUCUUUGGGUAGGGGAGCGUUCUGUAAGCCUGCGAAGGUUUACUGUGAGGUAUGCUGGAGGUAUCAGAAGUGCGAAUGCUGACAUAAGUAACGAUAUUGCGGGUGAAAAACCCGCACGCCGGCAGACCAAGGGUUCCUGUCCAACGUUAAUCGGGGCAGGGUGAGUCGACC